AUACAAACAUAAAAACAGAAAUGU
rnacentral:siRNA from 1 species